CCUACGGGUGGCAGCAGUGAGGAAUAUUGGUCAAUGGACGCAAGUCUGAACCAGCCAAGUAGCGUGCAGGAUGACGGCCCUCCGGGUUGUAAACUGCUGUUAGUUGGGAAUAAAAGGGGGCUCGUGAGCCCCGUCUUGUAUGUACCAUCAGAAAAAGGACCGGCUAAUUCCGUGCCAGCAGCCGCGGUAAUACGGAAGGUCCGGGCGUUAUCCGGAUUUAUUGGGUUUAAGGGGAGCGUAGGCCGGCUUUUAAGUCAGCUGUGAAAGUCCGCGGCUCAACCGUGGAAUUGCAGUUGAAACUGGAGGCCGUUAGUGCACACAGGGAUGCCGGAAUUCAUGGUGUAGCGGUGAAAUGCUUAGAUAUCAUGAAGAACUCCGAUCGCGAAGGCAAGUGUCCGGGGUGCAACUGACGCUGAGGCUCGAAAGUGCGGGUAUCAAACAGGAUUAGAUACCCCGGUAGUC
rnacentral:rRNA from 1 species